rnacentral:rRNA from 1 species
AAGUCGUAACAAGGUUUCCGUAGGUGAACCUGCGGAAGGAUCAUUAACGAAUAUCUAUGGCGUUGGUUGUAGCUGGCUCUUAGGAACACUUGUGCACGCCCGUCAUUCAUAUCAUCUUUCCACCUGUGAACUAUGUGUAGGCCUGGAUACCCCUCGCUUUGGUGACAAAGCGGAUGCAAGGACUGCUGUGCUGACAAGGCCGGCUCUCUUUGAAUUUCCAGGUCCUAUGUCUUUUACACACCCCAUUCGAAUGAUGUAGAAUGUAGUCAAUGGGCUCUUAUGCCUAUAAAACACUAUACAACUUUCAGCAACGGAUCUCUUGGCUCUCGCAUCGAUGAAGAACGCAGCGAAAUGCGAUAAGUAAUGUGAAUUGCAGAAUUCAGUGAAUCAUCGAAUCUUUGAACGCACCUUGCGCUCCUUGGUAUUCCGAGGAGCAUGCCUGUUUGAGUGUCAUUAAAUUCUCAACCUCACCAGUUUUGUAAUGAGACGGGUGAAGGCUUGGAUGUGGGGGUUUUUGCAGGCUGCCUCAGCGCUGGUCUGCUCCCCUGAAAUGCAUUAGCGAGCUUAUACUGAGCUUCCGUCUAUUGGUGUGAUAAUUAUCUACGCCGUGGAUUGGACUCAUGCUUGCUUCUAACCGUCCGCAAGGACAAUCUACUUGACCAAUUUGACCUCAAAUCAGGUAGGACUACCCGCUGAACUUAAGCAUAUCAAUAAGCGGAGGAAAAGAAACUAACAAGGAUUCCCCUAGUAACUGCGAGUGAAGCGGGAAAAGCUCAAAUUUAAAAUCUGGUGGUCUUUGGCCAUCCGAGUGUAAUCUAGAGAAGUGUUACCCGUG